rnacentral:misc_RNA from 1 species
GAGAAUUUUGGAUUAGCUGAAAGGCUUUUUCCUAAUACUUUAUUCCAUAAACACCUGUGCACCUUUUUUUAUUAGUGUGAUGUUAGCUAUUAGCUGGUCAAACGGCGAACGCAAACUUCAUUCUAGUAUACACACACAAACAUAUUAGUCUUUGAAUGUAAUAUAAAUUGUAACAAAAUA